GGAGCCAGUCUUCCCAAGGUGAAAUCCUAACUUUGCCACUUACUAGCCAUGUGAACUUGGGCAAGUGACCUAAUCCUCUGCAUUUCAUCUCUAAAUUGGGGAGAAUAGAAGCAUCUACUUCAUGUAGUAGCCAGGAUUAGAAGAGCUUUUUACAUGCUGCACCAAUACUGGGUCUAGCUGCAGCUUGGCUGGGUCGCAGAGGCUGAAGAGGGAGCUAAGCCUGGAGAGCUGGUAGAGAUGGGGUCUCACCAUGUUGAACAGGCUGGUCUGGAACUCCUGGCCUCAAGUGAUCCACCCACCUCAGCCUCCCAAAGUGCUGGGAUUACAGGUGUUCUUGGAGCCCCACUGUAGAAAGACUGCUGAUAUCCCAGAAUUCCAAGGUGGAUGUGCAGAUGAGAUUUCCAGUGACACCCAGCAGACUUCACGCAGAAGAUUCAGGACCAUGGCCAGCACCCACACUGCCUUCCGUAAACACUGAGCUAAAUAAACCUAGAGCCUUGGUGAUGAGAUCAGCACUGCCUUUGUAAGUUGGUUUUCUCAACAAACAUCAACUGAACAUCUACUAAACGUAAGAGCACUCUGGCUGUCAACUGAAAACAGCAGCAGCAGCAGCAGCAGCAGCAGCAGCAGCAGCACCACCACCACCACCAACAACAACGACAACUGUUGCAUAUAUAACUGAAGAUCCACAGAGUCCCUCUUUCCAGUGUUAGUUGCUACAAGGAGUGAGAGAAUGAAGAUCUGACCUCAAGGAAUAUAAGAGUUUUUGUUCAAAGUUCCAAGACUAAGCUAUUAGAAGGGAGGGAGGGCCUGAUGCCAUGUCAUCUCUGACCAAGAGAAUUGGAUUAAUGGAAGAAAGUUUAUACACCUUGAAGCAUAUUGGGAAAAUUGCCACAGCACUUUGCAAAUUCUCCCAUCAUAAGGUGGAGUGCAUUUCAGGCUGGCUUUGUGACUUGCUUUGGCCAAUAAUAUAAAUGACACUGGCAGGUAGCUGUCCAAGGGAGAGAUUGCUGAAGCUUGGUGGCGGUGAUGGUUGUGCAUUGGCAGUGAAGGUCCAGAAGUUUCUCCAGUUCUUAAGAGAGAGGAAUUCCUGGCUCAAGAGAAUGGAGUCACUUGCCCAGGGUCAUCCAACUGAGCUGGUGCCCUUUGCACUCCCCAAGCUGCUUCUCUCUGGGUUUGGUAAAGGUUUUUUGUCUUUACAAGAAACAGAUAUGGAGCCUCACUGUUGUCAAGGCUGGUCUCAAACUCCUGGUCUCAAGCGAUCCUCCCACCUUGGCUUCCCAAGACACCAGUUCUUUUAUUUCAUCCUCCCCAAAUCUCUGAGCUCGGACUUCUAUUCUGGGGUGAAUUUGGGGUAAUCGUGACAAUGACAACAGACAAAAUUACUGAUGCUGGGAGCAGCAAGUUGGGUUUGGAGGUCAUUGCUAAGCUGUAAAAGAAGUGAUUUGACUAUAAACUUUGGCUGGGCCUCCCUGAACGGGAUCACAUACCACAAUGGAACCUCUGACAGGAAAGGUGGCUUCCCUCAUGCCCCAUGGUACUUUUUCAUCAUUCUUUAGAACCAUGGAGGAGUUCAAAUACCAGCUCAGACACUUACUUGCUAGAUGACCUCAGAAGGAGGAACGUGCCGUGACGAGAGAAGGCUGAAUGUUUGCUGCCUCUGGAGGAAGUGAGAGCUGCUCAAAGGUGGUGACCACGGUAAUAAUGCAGACUUUGAGGCUG
rnacentral:lncRNA from 1 species